rnacentral:rRNA from 1 species
UACGAAGGGGGCGAGCGUUGUUCGGAAUUACUGGGCGUAAAGGGCGCGCAGGCGGUCCUUCAAGUCAGAUGUGAAAGCCCCGGGCUCAACCUGGGAACAGCAUUUGAGACUGGAGGACUUGAGGACGGGAGAGGAGAGUGGAAUUCCCAGUGUAGAGGUGAAAUUCGUAGAUAUCUGGAGGAACACCGGUGGCGAAGGCGGCAUCCUGGACCAACACUGACGCUGAGGAGCGAAAGCCAGGGGAGCAAACGGG